AUGGAGCCAUGGCUGAGCUGGGUUUUUCUUGCCACUAUUUUAAAAGGUGUCCAGUGUGAGGUGCAGCUGGUGGAGUCUGGGGGAGGCUUGGUACAGCCUGGGGGGUCCCUGAGACUCUCCUGUGCAGCCUCUGGAUUCACAUUCAGUAACUACUACAAGAGCUGGGUCUGCCAGGCUCCAGGGAAGGGGCUGGAAUGGGUACGUUUCAUUAGAAACAAAGCUAAUGGUGGGACAACAGAAUACACCACGUCUGUGAAAGGCAGAUUCACAAUCUCAAGAGAUGAUUCCAAAAGCAUCACCUAUCUGCAAAUGAACAGCCUGAAAACCGAGGACACGGCCGUGUAUUACUGUUCCAGAGACACAGUGAGGGGAGGUCAGUGUGAGCCCAGACACAAACCUCCCUGCAGGGGUUCCCAGGACCACCAAGGGGCGCCAGGACACUGUGCACGGGGCUGUCUCCAGGGCAGUUUUAUGGAGUCAGAGAGCUUUCCCGUGUGGGGAACCUCUAGCUUCCUCACUCUCGGAGAUUGCUGGUCAGCUGUAAUUGAGGGGUUAAGAAUUAGAGCACCUGGGAGCCUGUCUCAUCACAGCUGCAUUAUGUAA